GGCGGCGUGCUUAACACAUGCAAGUCGAACGAGAAAGCCGAAAGCUUGCUUUUGGCGAGUAGAGUGGCGCACGGGUGAGUAACGCGUGGGUAAUCUGCCUUCGAACCGGGGAGAACACUUCGAAAGGGGUGCUAAUACCGGAUGACAUCCAGGUGUCUUCGGGCGCCUGGAUCAAAGAUGGCCUCUCCAUGGAAGCUGUUGUUCGAAGAUGAGCCCGCGUCCCAUUAGCUUGUUGGUGGGGUAAAGGCCCACCAAGGCGACGAUGGGUAGCUGGUCUGAGAGGAUGAUCAGCCACACUGGCACUGACACACGGGCCAGACUCCUACGGGAGGCAGCAGUGAGGAAUUUUGCGCAAUGGGGGUAACCCUGACGCAGCAACGCCGCGUGAGUGAAGAAGGCCUUCGGGUCGUAAAGCUCUGUCGAGUGGGAAGAACCCGCAUCAGGUGACAAGGCUGAUGCGCUGACGGUACCACUGGAGGAAGCACCGGCUAACUCCGUGCCAGCAGCCGCGGUAAUACGGAGGGUGCAAGCGUUAUUCGGAAUUACUGGGCGUAAAGGGCGCGCAGGCGGCCUGGUAAGUCAGUAGUGAAAGCCCGGGGCUCAACCCCGGAAGUGCUGCUGAAACUGUUGGGCUUGAGUAUGGUAGAGGGAAGCGGAAUCCCUGGUGUAGCGGUGAAAUGCGUAGAUAUCAGGAGGAACACCGGUGGCGAAGGCGGCUUCCUGGACCAAUACUGACGCUGAGGC
rnacentral:rRNA from 1 species